rnacentral:tRNA from 1 species
UUCCUUAGCUCAGUCGGUAGAGCAACGGACUGUUAAUCCGUGGGUCGUUGGUUCGAGCCCAACUCGGGGAGCCA